UACGGGGGGGGCAAGCGUUGUUCGGAAUUACUGGGCGUAAAGGGCUCGUAGGUGGCCAACUAAGUCAGACGUGAAAUCCCUCGGCUUAACCGGGGAACUGCGUCUGAUACUGGAUGGCUAGAGUUUGGGAGAGGGAUGCGGAAUUCCAGGUGUAGCGGUGAAAUGCGUAGAUAUCUGGAGGAACACCGGUGGCGAAGGCGGCAUCCUGGACCAACACUGACGCUGAGGAGCGAAAGCUAGGGGAGCAAACGGG
rnacentral:rRNA from 1 species